GCCGAAGUGGCGGAAUUGGCAGACGCACAGGACUUAAAAUCCUGCGUUCCUUCAAGAACGUACCGGUUCGACUCCGGUCUUCGGCACCA
rnacentral:tRNA from 1 species